rnacentral:tRNA from 1 species
GGCCUCGUAGCUCAAGUGGCUAGAGCGUUGGUUAUACUAGAGCCCUUCCCUUCUUAUCGUAGGUUCGAAUCCCACUGAGGCCA